rnacentral:tRNA from 1 species
GUCUUUGUGGUGUAAUGGUCAGCACACUCGGCGCGUAUUCGAGAGGUCCGAGGUUCGAGUCCCGGCGAGGGCA